AAUUUUUAAAUACGAAUUAACAGUUAGAAAAAAAAAUUAUUAUGAAAAAAAUUCAUAGAAAUUCUUUUCAAAUAAAAAUCAUAAAUUUUAAACCUUAUUUUUAUUUCUUAAAUAAUCUUAUCUAAAAUACACCUUUUAAACAACACUAUUGUCUGCGACGAACUAUGAGACAUAAAUAAUUCAGAUAUUUCCGUACCGUACAAAUCUGCCAGCAACAAAAUAAUUUAAGCAUACCACAACGGAAACGCGUGCCAGUUUGCGGAAAUGCCAACCAAUCGAAAUGUUCAUACGCAUGAAAAUGGACGACUGAUUGCAAAAAAACACCUCUCAAAACUCAUAUGCGAGAUGUUAUGUUAGGUAAAGUUGUUUUCACAAGAACAAGCAAAUCCCGGAAAUUAGAAAUCUAUUCGAAAUCAAAUGCGAUUAUAAUGAUGACCAGAACAACAGGUGGGAGUGUAUAAGUACACUCGUACUCUGCGUGUACUGAUAUAACGGCAUAAGAGGGAUGAACGAAGUAAACAUUUUUAUUAGGAAACGUACAUUCUACCUUAACAAAUAUAUUUGAUGAAUUAAUGAGAUGUUUUUCAGUUGUCAUUUAUGAGGAAUAAAAUUUGAAAAGUUAUUAAAUUA